AAUUUUCGUACUGAACAAUUUUUCGCCCGUGAAAUGAUUUCUCCGGAAGACCGAGAACGAGGUUAUGAAAGUUUCGAAAGACCUCGGAGUAAGAUCAAAUUGGAAUACGGUUCUAGAGGACGCUUUGAACCUCGAAGAAGAUGAUGUUUUAAUAUGUUUUCAAUUAAUGACGUAAAUUUUUUACGAAGAACUAUUAUUCAAGCUGGUAGAAUACCGUAUACGAUAAUAUUGCUGUAGUAUUUUCAUCGUCAGACUUGUUUGAAGUUGAAUUGAUUUCAAAAAAAAAAAACAAAACCCGAAACACCUCAACCAAUAUAUAGUAUAUAUACAUAUAUUUUUUAAAUCAGUUUAGAGAAUAUCAGCAGGGCAGGGCUACGUGCUUUUAUGAUUCUGACACGGAGGCCAAUCGCCUUCCCCCCCCCUCAGUUCACGCCCGUAAUGGGACGGUACGAAACUAUUACGGCCGGAAUCAAUAUGAAUCUGCAAGUUGCUCUUUGUCCGUAAAGGUCGUGCGUACAUAAAUACGCACAGUAUGAUGUCGAGUUGUUAAAACA